CCUACGGGAGGCAGCAGUGAGGAAUAUUGGUCAAUGGGCGCGAGCCUGAACCAGCCAAGUAGCGUGAAGGAUGACUGCCCUACGGGUUGUAAACUUCUUUUAUAAAGGACUAAAGUGAGGCACGUGUGCCUUUUUGUAUGUACUUUAUGAAUAAGGAUCGUCUAACUCCGUGCCAGCAGCCGCGGUAAUACGGAGGAUCCGAGCGUUAUCCGGAUUUAUUGGGUUUAAAGGUAGCGUAGAUGGGUGGUUAAGUCAGUUGUGAAAGUUUGCGGCUCAACCGUAAAAUUGCAAUUGAUACUGGCAGUCUUGAGUACAGUUGAGGUAGGCGGAAUGUGUGGUGUAGCGGUGAAAUGCUUAGAGAUCACGAAGAACUCCGAUUGCGAAGGCAGCUUACUAAACUGCCACUGACAUUGAUGCUCGAAAGUGUGGGUAGCAAACAGGAUUAGAUACCCCGGUAGUC
rnacentral:rRNA from 1 species